rnacentral:rRNA from 1 species
UAAUGGCCCACCAAGGCGACGACGGGUAGCUGGUCUGAGAGGAUGGCCAGCCACAUUGGGACUGAGAGACGGCCCAGACUCCUACGGGAGGCAGCAGUGGGGAAUCUUGCGCAAUGGCCGAAAGGCUGACGCAGCGACGCCGCGUGUGGGAUGAAGCAUUUCGGUGUGUAAACCACUGUUGCCCGGGACGAACAGCCCUUUUCGAGGGGUCUGACGGUACCGGGUGAGGAAGCACCGGCUAACUCCGUGCCAGCAGCCGCGGUAAUACGGAGGGUGCGAGCGUUGUCCGGAAUCAUUGGGCGUAAAGGGCGCGUAGGUGGCCUGCUAAGCGUGCGGUGAAAGCUCGGGGCUCAACCCCGAGUCGGCCGUGCGAACUGGUGGGCUUGAGCACUGUAGAGGCAGGCGGAAUUCCGGGUGUAGCGGUGGAAUGCGUAGAGAUCCGGAAGAACACCGGUGGCGAAGGCGGCCUGCUGGGCAGUAGCUGACACUGAGGCGCGACAGCGUGGGGAGCAAACAGGAUUAGAUACCCUGGUAGUCCACGCCGUAAACGAUGGGCACUAGGCGCUUGGGGGAGCGACCCCCCGAGGGCCGGCGCUAACGCAUUAAGUG